rnacentral:rRNA from 1 species
UAACGCGUAGGUAACCUACCUAUUAGAGGGGGAUAACUAUUGGAAACGAUAGCUAAUACCGCAUAACAGUAUGUAACACAUGUUAGAUGCUUGAAAGAUGCAAUUGCAUCGCUAGUAGAUGGACCUGCGUUGUAUUAGCUAGUAGGUAGGGUAAUGGCCUACCUAGGCAACGAUACAUAGCCGACCUGAGAGGGUGAUCGGCCACACUGGGACUGAGACACGGCCCAGACUCCUACGGGAGGCAGCAGGG